UCCUAGUCCUCCCGGUCGCGCUGGUCCUGUCCCCCGCCGCGGUGAGGCGAUUCGCGACACAGCCCACCAACUUGUCGCGUACGGCGGCACAACAAGUCGCGGAGUGGAAGACCAAGGCCAGCGCCAUACCGCAGAGCAACGGCGGCAUCCAUGCAGAUCGGCGGCGGCGAGGAUAUGGCCCACGGCCGACCCUCCGCAGCGACACCAUCCGGUACACACAUCGUUGCAGCCCCGCUCCAGGACCGGAGGCAGCAGCACGCAGUGGCGCUGCGACGCUCCCUCCGGCCGGCUCGUGGUGCACGACCCUCGGCUGGCUCCUCUUAGCGCGGCAGCUCGAGCCGCUCCAACAACAGCGGGAUGCGCUACCACUGGAGUCCAUCGAUUAAAAGCUCGAACGCCUUGAACAGGCUGUAGCAAGAGAGCAAAAUCAAUAGAAGACAUCACAGUGAAGGAAAAAGGUGAGUUCGGGGAAGAACAGAACAACAACAGGUGAAUCGAUUGAUUCGUGGCUGCAUAUGACGAGGAAUCUUAUCUCCUUGCCAUUGUUCAUUUUAGUCCUUCGAUUUUCUCUUAUCGACGAAAAAGUUAAUGGAACUUUCAGCCUAUUUGAACUUCACAGUUUACGAUCAGCCAUAUUAUUCAUAUUUCAAGCCUUCGGUUUUAAAUCAAAUAUAUAUAUGCCAGGCCCCACGUUUUAUUAAAGUGCACAUAAUUUUACCACAUGUAAAAUUCCAUUUGAAGCCUUCAAGGCUAAGUAUAAUGCAAGCACAUAUACUUUUGUGCAAACAUGUACUACAAUAGUAGUAUUAUAGCAAAAUGAAUAUUUUGCUUACAUUGCAGACACAAUUCCAAUAGAAUUUAAGCCAUUAUUCCGUGUCUUUACCCCUAACAUUGCAUGCGAUUGUAGGACAACAACUAUGAUUUUACAAUAUAAUAUAUAUAUAUUUUGUUGUAAAUCUCAACAAAAUUCAAAUAAGAAUUAUAAAGUGUCAUACUUAACAUGACUAGCCUAAAUUUUAUUUGUGAAUCACAAGGUAUUGGUGACAUCUACUGCACCAUUUGCAGAUUAUUCAUCAUUACUGUGAGGUCUACAUCUUGUGUUUUACAAGAUGAUUACCUUCAAAGUGCCCUUCCAAAUAUUAAUAUGUGAAUACCUCUAGAUAUCAUAAGGUAAUAUUGGCAUCUACUGAAGAAAAUUUUUUUACAGACUAUCCACUAUUACUGCAAGGUCUACAUCAUGUCACUUUGACAAAUGAUUGCCUUCAAAGUGAUUUCAUACAUUUAGCAUAACAUAAGGUAAUAGAAUUAUAAACAUCCACUGACAAUAGUCAGACUAUGUUUUCUAUUACUGCGAGAUCUACACCAUAUUGGUGAUUAUCUUUAAAGUGUUAUCCUAUAUAAAUUGAGGUCUACACAUAUGGCUAUAUUGCAUCAGCCGUACUAAAAUUUGCUCCUCUGAAGCAAUUGUUGUUGUUCACUAAAAUGAUUUACUAUCAUAGUAAAUUCAUGCAUGAUUAUUGCAUGUUGAAUGAUAUUAUCUACCAAUAUCAAUUAUUCAAGCCUCUUUUUGCUUGAAUAUGUCAUAGGGAACUACAUAAAUAUUUGCAUUUACUUGUGAUUACCUUCUAUUACAUUGGUAAAAUACAUGGCAAUGAAGCCUAUGACAAUAUUUCUAAUUAUAGUGUCGUCCAUCCAUCAUGAUGGACCACAUAAUUUAUAACAAUGAUUAAGUGUCUUAACACUUUCGCAAGGUCCACAUGACAUCGUGGUUAUAAUUUCAUAGUGACUAACCAAUGUUAAGCAUGCAAGUCUAUACGUUUUGGCAGUGACUCUAAAGUCACACACUUCCUCAAAAAUGAAGUCCAAAACAUUAGCAAUAAUUUAAUCACAUGUGUUAUAUUGAAGGAUACACCCAGGUUCACCAAGGAUCACCUUGACCAUGAUUGUUCUCAAACAAAUCAUUUAUUUAUAGAUGCCACUUACUCCUAGAAGUAAAUUAAAUAAAUGCAUUAGCAUUUUCAAGUAACGCAUGGCUCACAUUUCCAAAUACAGUAAGUACAUGUUAGGUGAGAUUAUUUAUUGUAAGAUGAUUUACGACAUCAGUCAUUGUAUCCACCCGAGGUAUUAUUGCCACUAUAACUCCACCUUCGGAAUAUGUGUCAUGGCUAUUCUCUUAAUAGCUAAGUAGAGAAUAGCUAAGUAUGAUCAUAUGUAUUUCAUCUCUCACCAACUUCACUUAGUUCUCAAACUAAGUACAUAAUGGAUGAAUAUUUAUUUACCUUGACUAUUUUCCUUAAGAGAAACAUGCUGCCCCGAGCACAUUUGGAAUGAUCACCCAAUAAAUUUUCAAGACCUCAAGUCUAUUGCAACUUACAAUUUUGGUAAUUAUAAAAUCAACUUGAAGUUGAGAUCUCAUGAUCUGACAUUUUCAUAUGCAGAUCAGGUUAAAAAGCCCUUGAUACACUUUACAUCUCCUUAUGAUGGUAUUACCAUUUUCAUGGUAAAGAAACAUGUUAUUUCUUGAACUCAUCAUAUUCACCCAACGGGUGCUAUACCAUUAUUUCAAAUAUUUGCUAGUAUUGAUUAGCAAGUCACAUUUCACAAAAUAGAACCAUGAGGAAUUCAAAGUAAAGUGGAGGCUAAAGACAAUCGAUGUCAGAAUUACCAUUUAAUUGGGAAUUGAUCAUUUUCAAAUGAUCACAAAGACAACUCUCAAGUUUGUCAAAUGUGUGGUUACAUAAAUAUCGUACAUAUGAUUACCAAACCCUCAAACAUAUGGUCAAACCACACCAUGAAUUUAUUAAAAGGCAAAUAAGUUUAUGGGGAUAUUUGAAAAUUUGCAAACAUACGACCAUAAUCUAUUCUGGUAAAUGAUGUUCUCGAAUCUUCAUCGGAAGGAGAACCAAAAAUAUAGUGCAAUAAAAGAAUGAUCAAUUCGUUUGCACCUAUGAUAUGUUUGCAUAAUUCAUUUUUUUUCUCAGUAAUAUGGGAGACCUCAUGUAAUAUCCCGAUUAUUCCCAAAAUAUUGUUUACCUAUAGUUGUACUACUACAUGUAGUAUAAUGUCCAACAUCCUAUUUCUUGGACAUCAUGUUUGAUAAAUUUUGAAUGUAUGAAUCAAUUCAUACUCAGUUUUGUUGCGUACACAAUAAUUUUCUAAAUCUUACAAAAUAUUUGGUUUUAAGCCUUACAAUCCAGGUUUGGGGUUGUUUAGAAAAUUAUUGACAAUUCUAUUGGUCACAACUUAACAAAUUGCAAAAUUUUCCAAAUCAUCAGAUUUUAUGUGCACCACAUGUGCCAUAAGGAAAAUUAAUUUAAGGAACUCUCACCUUACAAUUCUAAAUGAGCCAACUCAUUCUUCCUUGAACACAUUCAGAAGAUAUGUGCAUUCUCAACCAUUGUGUGGUAUUUUAUAGAUACUUUAUGGUACUCAUGGAAACAUUUAUAAAAUGAUUCUAGUGUGUCUCUUGUCACACAAACCAUGAAUGAUAUAACUAAAUCAAUUGCUCAAAUUAUCAAAGUAAGAGCAAGUUAUCCUAAACAAGGGAUAAAUCCAUUCGAAUGGACAACUUUGUUGAACUCAUUUCACAAGAAAUAUCUGAUUAUAUAUAAUACUUUGUGUACAUACCCAAAAUGGUUUAUUUGAAUAUCUUAUCAAAGAUAGUGAAAUUAAUAAUAUGACCAAACUUAUAGAAUGAUGAUUUACUAGCCUCAUGCUAGAGAAAUACGGCAUUACACACCGUAAGUAUGAUAUAAAUCAUACCAACUACAUAGCAUACUACUUUCCCCUUUUAGUAAUUACGUAGAAAUCAACAAAGUAUUUCCUAUCUGCGAUAAUUCGGUUACAUACCGAUAUCACCACUCCAGCAUACAUCAAUGGGCUCUCACGGAAAAUUAGGGAUCUAAGUGAGGAAUGACAAUUUAUCCGUCAAUCAAAAUUAUUCAUAGCCCGUAUGCUGAUUGCAUCAGCAAUAAGGACAUUUCUGGCAUUAGGGGGAGAUAAGUACCACAAAGAAUGCCAAGAAAUAAAUUAGGAAUGUUAUUCACAUUCAGUCCUUAUAUCCACGUACUCAAAGAAUCUGAACAAGAAGUUUAGAAUCACAUAUUUGCAACACAUUGCAAAUCUGCCACAUACAUUUACUGAUGACAAAGGUGUCACUCAAUUUUAUAUUCCUGCAGUAAAGUGUCAGAAAGAGUGGAGGUACCUGAUAAACCACUCUUCUCCCGAAAUGAGAGCAAGAGGGGGAGAAAUCUGACCACACGAGAUAUAAUCUCGCAUAUGCUUCCGCGGAAAUAGAGGAAAUCAAAUCCUCAACCAGUAAAUGUAAUUCAACAUCAAGUUGAAAGACACCUCACUGGAUGCUCAUCAUCCAAAGCCCGACAUAAAUGUGCACAAAUGUUUUCGUGACGGGACAUCGAAACACCUUGACUCCAUUGUUGUAGGAAAUCACAAGGAGUUAAAAGGAAUAAAUACAUUUCCACAAAUUUCAUUGAUUCCUCCAGAAUCAUAUAACAUAAGUCUACAUUUGUCGACAUAUAUUUCUUCUGAAAAUUGCUAAAACCUUUUGGGCCCUGAACCAAAAUCCAUGGUAGAGUGCCUCCUGUACUCAUAUUGGUUCACAUAAAAGGAAGCAAGUAAUGAAGAAUAACCUCGCUCUACAAACGAGUGGUAUUUACCACAGUAAUACCUACUCCUCAUAAGUAUCUUCCAUAUGGAAUACUAAAAACUUCUCAUUCAUAGACAAAUUCAAUGAGGUGGUGAGAAAGCAAGGCUUGUAGCAAAAGGGUUCACGCAGAGACCCGACAUCAAAUUAUGAUGUAACAUACCCUCUUGGUAUGAGUGGAAUUAAGUUUCGAUAAUAAAUAUCAUUGGCAGUACAAAUAAUAUUAUACAUGCAGUUAAUGGAUGCAGUGACUACAUACUCAUAUGAGUCACUCAUUUUGGAAAUCUAUAUUAAAGUCCCUGAAGGGCUUCAUUUCCGAAUCCAAAAACAAAUCGCAACAUGUAUUGUGUAAAAUUUCAGAAGUCACUCUAUGACUAGAAAAAGUCAUGAAUCAUAUGGUACUACCGACUAGACGAGUCCCUUCUUCACAGGAUUACUCAAAGGAUGAUGAUUGUUUAUGUGUUAAUAAGGGAAUACCAAAAUUUUAUUUCCUUACAUCACCUCAGUGUAUAUGAUGAUUUCAUCAUCAAUGUCUCUACAAGACCUAAACAUACAUAAAAUCAUCUUAAGACGGAUAAUUUGGAUUCAACCAAAUUUAGCUUAAGUUUACAACUUGAGCAUUCUCUCAAGAAUACAUAUUAGUCUACAUAUAUCCAAACAUAUACGAGAAGUUCAAUUUGGAUAUAUCAUAUCAACAAAAGACAUGUAUGGUCAUACUACCUUUGAUAAGGUACAAAUCCAUUCAUACCUAGGGGUGAUAAUGAAGUGAUACUAGGACCUAAAGUUCUAUAUAUCACUAAUGUCAAAGCACUCAUAUACUUGCAAACUACGUCAGGCCUGACACUAUAUUUGCUAUCUUUAUUCAGAGUGCAACCCCCAACAAAAGGUAUAUGGUUGAUAUAAGUAAUAUCAUCUUAUAUCUGAAGAUUACAGUAAAUCUUGGAUAUUUCCAUCAGGAAAUAGAAGAUAUGACCAUGAUAUGAUGUAAUGAUAUUGGCUCUGUAUUUGAUCCCAACGAUGCCAUAUCAAUGACUGAAUUUGCUGGAAUAGCCUUCACAUGGAAGUCAUAUAAAUGGAUUUUAGUGGUUAUUUCCAGUUAUCAUUCUAACAUAAUUGCUUUAUCUAAAGGCAUUGCAAAAUAUGCAUAACUUAGUAGAAUGGUUAACCACACUCAAAAUCAUGUGGUUGAGAUUCAUCAGAAUCACAUAACUUGAUUUAUCAAGAUACUUCCACUUGUGUUACUCAAUACCUAUAGGUUAUAUGAAGAGCAAUAUCAUAAAUCACAUUGCUCGGAAAUUACUUAGCCUCACGGAUUAUAGAAAAGUGAGAAAAUAAUUUGCAAACAAACUACUGUUAUAAUCCAACAGAUUAUACACAAUCUCAUGUUCAUGUCAAUGGAAUUGGUAUGAGACAUCCUACAUAUUUGCAAAGUUCAGGGGGAGUAAUGUCCCAAACUAUAACCUAUUAACAAUCAUCAGAUUGCAUACAUUGUACUCUUUUUCACUUGAUGAGUUUUCCCUAUUGGUUUCUCAUAAAAGGUUUUUAACGAGACAAUAUAAACACAAGUGUCUUUAUAUGCCAUAUCAUUUUCUCCUUGUAUUUUUCCCAUUGGGUUUUAAAGGAGUUUUCAAUGGCAUGUACGAUUGCACUCUUUUCCCUUAUGAGUUUUCUCUCAAAGUUUCUCAUAAUGGUUUUUAGUGAGGCAAUAUCUUCACAAAGAUCAUAUGUCAUACUUUCUAUUUUUCCUACCAGGGUUUUUAAAGGAAGUACUCAAGAUAUAUUAAUUGUUCUCUAAAAUUAUCAAUGAGUUUUCUCCUUCUUCAAAGGUUUUUCUCAUAUGAGUUAUCAAGAGACAAUAAUCAUCAUAUGUUGCAUCAUUUUCUCCUUAUUUUUCCCCACUGGGUUUAAAGGAGUUUUAGCAACAUAUCUACUCUAUUCUCCUCAUAUUUUUCCCACAGGGUUUUUGGGGGAGACUCUCAAGAUUAUCUGGAAGAUUUCUCAAGAUGGAAGAUCUAUAUUCAAGAAGCUUUCAACGAUGAAACAUUCAAGGAGCGGUGUUGUACAAGGGGG
rnacentral:lncRNA from 1 species